GACCAGGCGGUGCAAGGAUGACGCUCUUCGAUUGGCACUCGAUAGGUUGUAGGUUCGAAUCCUGUCCUGGUCA